GACGAACGCUGGCGGCGUGCUUAACACAUGCAAGUCGAACGGAAAGGCCCUGCUUUUGUGGUGUGCUCGAGUGGCGAACGGGUGAGUAACACGUGAGUAACCGGCCCUUGACUUUGGGAUAACUUCAGGAAACUGGGGCUAAUACCGUAUAGGAUCUCCUGCUGCAUGGUGGGGGUUGGAAAGUUUCGGCGGUUGGGGAUGGACUCGCGGCUUAUCAGCUUGUUGGUGGGGUAGUGGCUUACCAAGGCUUUGACGGGUAGCCGGCCUGAGCGGGUGACCGGCCACAUUGGGACUGAGAUACGGCACAGACUCCUAAGGGAGGCAGAAGUGGGGAAUAUUGCACAAUGGGCGGAAGCCUGAUGCAGUAACGCCGCGUGCGGGAUGACGGCCUUCGGGUUGUAAACCGCUUUCGCCUGUGACGAAGCGUGAGUGACGGUAAUGGGUAAAGAAGCAACGGCUAACUACGUG
rnacentral:rRNA from 1 species